rnacentral:sRNA from 1 species
ACCGGGUGUGGUGGUGCAGGCCUGUAAUCCCAGUGCUUGGGAGGCUGAGGCAGGAGGAUCGCAAGUUCAUUGCCAGCCUCAGCAAUUUAGCAAGGCCCUAAGCAACUUAGUGAGACCCUGUCUCUA